CAAUAGCGUAUAUUAAAGUUGUUGCGGUUAAAAAGCUCGUAGUUGGAUUUCUGCCGAGGACGACCGGUCCGCCCUCUGGGUGAGUAUCUGGCUCGGCCUGGGCAUCUUCUUGGAGAACGUAGCUGCACUUGACUGUGUGGUGCGGUAUCCAGGACUUUUACUUUGAGGAAAUUAGAGUGUUUCAAGCAGGCUUACGCCUUGAAUACAUUAGCAUGGAAUAAUAAGAUAGGACCUCGGUUCUAUUUUGUUGGUUUCUAGAGCUGAGGUAAUGAUUAAUAGGGAUAGUUGGGGGCAUUCGUAUUUAACUGUCAGAAGUGAAAUUCUUGGAUUUGUUAAAGACGGACUACUGCGAAAGCAUUUGCCAAGGAUGUUUUCAUUGA
rnacentral:rRNA from 1 species